CCCAUCUAGAACCGAGAGAUGCCGGCCCGGAUAAUCACCAUGCCCUUUCUUCUCUACUUCUAGUACCUCCAGCCAAAAUCACGUUCUCGUCGCCGGUUCAAAUUCAGAUCUUUUUCUCCGCGCCCCACCUUGCCGAAUUUGCACCACCUGCCUUUGGCCGCCGGCGUGGCUGCUCGGUGGUGCAGCUACUCCAACUUGUGUCCUCUCCGCCGUGCCGCCGGCGCGCUGGUACAUCACGUCAUUGCAUUCUCCACAGCUUGGAAGGGGCCGAAUCAACGGAUGAAUUCUUCCCCAUCCAAGAACACGUCGCCUCGCUGAUUCCUCCUCCCGACCCAACAGAAUCCUUUGAGCUGCCUGGGGCAGAACAAUGGAUGAGCUGCUGGGAAGGGCUGUGUCGGCUGACGAUGUGUUCCCCAUCCCGGCGGACGCCACCGACCUGAUGCAUCCGGCCGCCUCGCCCUUCCGCAUCUUUCCGGACGAGGGGAGUGGAGUGUCCUGUACACCCGGGCGUCCAAGAUGGAAGCUACGGAUAUCUUGUUCCUCUAGAGUACCAUACAACUAGCAUCCACCCACACAUCUCGCGGAUAUCUUGUUUAUCUCUCUUGUCUUCUUAUUUUGGUUGUUGUUUUCAGAUUGGUUCUUUUGCAACUUUUUGAGCUCAUCAAGAAAUGGCAUGGUUACAUGCAACUAGCAGAGCAGAAUAGCUCAAGAGGUAUUCUUAUUUUGCCCUUUGUUGUCCUGUUCUUGGACAUCUGUAGGAGGUAGGAUUUUUUGCGGUUCACUGUUUUCGGUUCAUGAUCUUGUUCAGUAAAAUUUUUUCACAAUUUCACUUGUGAGGUACAAUUUGGAAGUUGUUCGGACUGAGCGAUUUCUCCACGUUUCAUGGUAGGAGGAACUAGCUCGAGUGGAGCUCCGCAUUAGCGAGGCGCUGGGAGUCUCCGCGGGCGAAUCUUUUUCUUUCCCCAUGCUUUCCAACGCCGCUGGCCUAAUGCAUCUUGCAACAAUUCUUUCUCCAGAAUUUGAUUGACCCAUGUUUUCAUUUUUGAAAGUAGCGGCAGCAGUUGAUCUUCUCAAAGUGACUUGAUUUUAACUCUAAAACGCAGGUUGCUCCAGAUCAUAUCGUUGAGGCGGAGCAUGUAGCGGAUAUCAUGGUGGCCGCCGGCGACUUCUAUUCAGAUGCUGGGUACCAAGCUGUCGACGAUGGCGUCCGGAAGAUCAUGCAGCGCCGAGUCUCCGCUUUGUGCUCCACUGUCGGCUCGCGUGUUUCUGCUUUAAGCUGCUCCUGGUCACGUCGCCUCCUACAAGCGCUGUAAGCUCAUGCCGGAGAUCGGCCUCGUCAGCGUUGAUGCUGGCGCGGGAGCUGCUCACGCACUCCGGCUCCGCCGCGGCGGCUUGAAAGGACCGAAGGAGCAGGGCAUCAGAAAAAAUGUCGCCGUGAUUUGGCGCUGGACCGCAUGCUAGAGGAGCUACAAGCGCUGUAAGCUCAUGCCGGAGAUCGGCCUCAUCAGCGUUGAUGCUGGCGCGGGAGCUGCUCACGCACUCCGGCUCCGCCGCGGCGGCUUGAAAGGACCGAAGGAGCAGGGCAUCAGAAAAAAUGUCGCCGUGAUUUGGCGCUGGACCGCAUGCUAGAGGAGCUGUCCCGGCGUCUGGCGGGGCUCACGGACAGCUGCUCCAUGGUCAGCCUCUGGGCGCGCCACGUCCGGCGGAAAUGGGGUCGCGGCGGUGAGCUGGCCGAGACGAUCCUUAAUGGUGCGUACCAGGGACGCCGUGGGCGCGGUGAGCUCGUGGAACAAGAGGUGGAUGUGGCCACGUCGGUGGCCGUACAUCGUGCCGGCGAGACGCGUGCCGAGGCCGACCUGCCGGUGCCGGCGCCGAGGCCGUACAGAAUGCCGGUACUGUUCUUGGGUGGCGGUGGUUCGCGAGCAGCUUGCGCGGGCGCAGCGGAAGCCACUGCCAGGAGUGCGCAGAGCCACGGUGCCGCGGUGGCCGACGAAUUUGCUGCCGUGGCGGUGCUGCUUGAAGACGGCGACUCUUCCUCAGGCGUUUUGUAAGAAGUCAUGUAGUACUAGAUUAGAAGUCAGAUUUGAUCUAGGUGUUGACUUCUGUUUUAGUCAAUAGUUAGCAUUUAGAGAUGAUUUUGUUAUCUUUUUUUUUUGGCGUCGAUGCCUAGCAAAAGAUGAUGGUGUAGUCUCAUCUCUCAUGUACCACCUGAUGGCCAUGUUUGUCGCUGUUAAAGAGUUAAUUGUAAAAAUAUGCUUUGCCAAC